GAAGGGACACCUUCAAAACACAGAACCCCUCUAGUGGUCUGGCUGCAAAGGAGAGUGAGAGCGCUGCGUGAACAUAUACCUGUCCCAGCCUCAGGCAUCAUGGAGAGAAGACACACAUUGAGCAGGAGGAUCAUGGAACCAGAGUUUAAAAGACACUUUCCCAAGGACUCCACUUCCACAGCAAGGCACCCCAAGGUCCAAACCAGGAGGCAGCUUCCAGGGCAGGGAAGCACCUGAAGAGAACAGCUGGUCUGGUUGUACAGCCCCCAGUCUCUCCCACCCACCCCAUCCUGCCCCCCAUGCCACAGUGAAAAUAGUGUCUUGGAAAGAGCACUGGCUUCAGAAUCAGGCAGUCUAAAGACUGGAAUCUUAGCUCCAACACUUGGUAGUAGCUGGGAGAACUUCAAGUUAUUUAGCCUCUCAGAGCCACAGUUUCAUCAUCUAUCAAAUGAUCGGAAUAGUAACUCCCUUAUUGAAUUGGUAAGAGGAUUUAAGGCAAAUCAUCAUGUAUUGCUGCUCAGGUUGUGCACUGCUGAAAUCCAGGUGGCCACCAUAAGCCUACAAAGUUAUCGAUGGCCCUUGGUUUGUGUAGGUAUACGAAAUAUUGUGUUAAAAGCACCCUUCACAAAGCCUGGCAUCUAGUAAGUGCUGAAUCAUGGCGGCCAAAAAUCAGGUCUAUUAAUCCUACUUUCAGUUCACCAGAGGACAACCACCUAGCCUUUGGCUGACAUAAUAGUUUCAGAGUAGGAAGUUGUAGCCAUGGUAAUAAUAUGAGGCAACUUUGUGGUGAUGGGGAUGUGAUGCCUAAGGGAAUUUUUAGAGCCCAGAGCUUCAGAAGUUUGUCAUGGCUCUCUGCUUACUGGGCAUUUUCUUGGUGAGCAAUCAGAUAUCUCACAGUGCCCAGAUAUAUGUGCUCUUGGAAUCAUUUAGUCUUAAUGAAGUGAAGUUAGAUUAUUUAAGUGGAGCAUGAUUGCCUUUCCCUAUUAAAAUAAUGUUUUUUCUUCCAUUAAAACAUAGUGUGCAAUGUCCAGUUAAACAAGAUCAACUUUUAAAAGGGAGCCUCUAGACUCCCAGUUUUCCAGCCUCAACUCUUACAGUCCAGCAACUACUCCAUCUUCACCCUGGCAGAGUUGGGAGAUGGGCUUUCUGGUGAAGUCAACUUGUAGACAUGGGCAUAGCUGAGGGUAGGAGAAGGUGCUUACUAAAUGCAGGAUUUACAUUCUGAAGGUGUGGGCCCUUAAACCACAGCCCCUGACCUGGAUCCUGUAUAGCUGACUGUCCAACUUAACCCUCCCAUUCUAGGCAGGAGCCUCAAGGGUUUAAUUAGCCCAGAAAAGUGGCUUUAAAAUAUGAACAACCAGGAGUCCCAGUAAGACAGCCAGGUCUUACCCAGUCUUCUUACUGUGAGGUCCAACUUCUGGCAAGUCACACAACAAGCAGAGAACGUCCAAUCAGAAGUUCAGAACCUCUCUCCAAAUGGCCAUUAGCUAUUAAGGGACAGAUUUCUUGAAGACAGGGUCUAAUGCAAAAAGGAAAAAAGGAAAAAAGGAAAAAAAAAGAAAAGAAUGGGAGGGAGGGAGGAAAGUGGGGGGGAGAAAUAGGAAGUAUUUCUAGGAAAAUAGGAAGAAGGAAGGAAAAUUAAGACAAUUACUUCAAAGGAGGAGGCAAAAUAACACUUGCCACUAAUGUAUAAUUACUAGCCAUAAUGAGAAGCCAUUACAACUAUGAAAUAAGAACAAGGACUCAUAGGAAGAGAAGAGGAAUAAGAAAGGACACUUGGAAAUUAAAAAUGUGAAAGCAGAAAUAAAAAUGCAGGGGAUUAAGAUGGCAGAAUAGAAGGUCUGGAGCACAACUUCUCUCCUAAAAACAACAAAAUUACAACCAAAAUGCUGAGUAGUCUUCAACCAAAUGGACUGGAAACUUUCAAAAAUAUAUCCCACCCCAGAAAACAAAGAAGCCGCAUCAAGAGGUAGGAGGGAUGAUUAUGCAGUAUAAGCAACCCCAUACCUCCUGAGUGGGAAGCCCCACAGACUGGAAAUUAACUGUAUCAUAGAGACUCACAGGAGUGAGAGUUCUGAGUCCCACGUCAAGUUCCCAUGCCUGGGGAUCUGACACUGGGAGAAAGAGCCCCUGGAGCAUCUGGCAUUGUACACAGGAGCUCCACGGGACUGGGGGAAAUGCAGACCCCAUUCUUAAAAGGCGCACACAGACUUUCACAUGUACUGGGUCCCAGGGCAAAGCAAAGUCUCCAUAGGAAUCUGGGUUGGACCUGACUGCAAUUCUUGGAGGAUCUCCUAGGAAAACGGGGUGAGUGUGGUUUGUUGUGGGGGAAGAGCAUUGGAAGCAAAGCUCUUGGGAAUAUUCAUUAGUAUGCGUUUCUCUGGAGGUGGCCAUUUUGGGAAAAUCUGGCCCUACCCAUCAGUGCUGAGAAGCCUCAGGCCAAACAACAAUCCAGGUGGGAUCACAUCCCACCCAUCAGUAAACAGGCCAGCUAAAGACCCCCCAGGCACACAGCCAUCUCUAAUAUCACCCAGAAACAAAGCCCAACCCACCAGAGGGAUAGGAAUCAGCUCCACCACUAGUGGUCAGGCACCAGUCGCUCUCAUCAGGAAGCCUACAGCAUGCCCCCGUACCAACUUCAGCCACAAGGGGGGCAGACACCAGAAGUAAGAGAGGCUACAAAUCUAUUGUCUGCAAAAAGGACACUACACCAAAAACCUAUAAAAAUGAAAAGACAGAGAGCUAUAACUCAGAUAAGGGAGAAACAACCCCCCCCCAAAAAAAA
rnacentral:lncRNA from 1 species